UCAAGCAAGAAAGAGCACAGGGUGAAUGCCUUGGCACUGGGAGCCGAUGAAAGACGUGGUAAGCUGCGAAAAGCUUCGGGGAGGCGCAAACAGCCAUCGAGCCGGAGAUUUCUGAAUGGGGAAACCUACUUGAGCAAACCUCAAGUAUCCAUACGUGAAUCCAUAGCGUAUGGAAGGGAACGUUGUGAACUGAAACAUCUAAGUAGCAAUAGGAGGAGAAAGAAACAUCGAUUUCCUAAGUAGCGGCGAGCGAAAGGGAAAGAGGCCAAACCGAAGGACCUGGUUCUUCGGGGUUGCGGACUGCAUUUAGCAUUGUCGGAAGAUAGUCGAACUGUUUUGGGAAAGCAGACCAAAGACGGUGAAAGUCCGGUAGACGAAAUCGGAGGGCAGCGAGCAGUAUCCAGAGUACCACGGGACACGAGAAACCCUGUGGGAAGCCGGGGGGACCACCCCCCAAGCCUAAAUACUCCCCAGUGACCGAUAGUGAAGCAGUACUGUGAAGGAAAGGUGAAAAGAACCCCGGGAGGGGAGUGAAAAAGAACCUGAAACCCUUUGUUUACAAACAGUGGGAGUUACGAUAGUAACGACUGCGUACUUUUUGUAGAACGGUCCGGCGAGUUACAUUUGCAAGCAAGGUUAAUUAGUAAGAAGCUAAGAAGCCGAAGGGAAACCAAGUCUGAAGAGGGCGACAAGUUUGUAGGUGUAGACCCGAAACCGGGUGACCUAUCCAUGAGCAGGUUGAAGUUACCGUAAAAGGUAAUGGAGGACCGAACUCGUAUCUGUUGAAAAAGGUUGAGAUGACUUGUGGAUAGCGGAGAAAUUCCAAUCGAACCCGGAGAUAGCUGGUUCUCCUCGAAAUAGCUUUAGGGCUAGCCUUGUGUUAAUCUACUGGAGGUAAAGCACUGAAUUGGUGCGGGGCCUUCGCGGGUUACCAAAUCAUAUCAAACUAAGAAUGCCAGAGAGAUGAUGCACAGGAGUCAGACUAUGUGAGAUAAGUUUCAUAGUCAAAAGGGAAAGAGCCCAGACCGACAGCUAAGGUCCCAAAGUGUGUGUUAAGUGGAAAAGGAUGUGAGAAUUCGAAGACAACUAGGAUGUUGGCUUAGAAGCAGCCACUCAUUUAAAGAGUGCGUAACAGCUCACUAGUCGAGAGUUUUUGCGCCGAAAAUGUCCGGGGCUAAAACACACCACCGAAGCUACGGAAUUGUAGAGAUACAAUUGGUAGAGGAGCAAUCUGCAAGGAAGAAGCCAAACUGAAAGGGAAGGUGGACGAAGCAGAAGAGAGAAUGCCGGAAUGAGUAGCGAGAUAUAUGUGAGAAUCAUAUAGGUCGAAUGUCUAAGGUUUCCAGAGUAAAGCUGAUCUGCUCUGGGUAAGUCGGGACCUAAGGCGAGGUCGAAAGACGUAGUCGAUGGACAACUGGUUUAAAUUCCAGUACUACUAAUAAUCAGAACUGUGGGGACACAGGAGGAUAGGAAAACCGAGGAAAGGAAAUACUCGGCUAAGCACAAAGCUGUGUGUAUGAUGCAAAUCACAUACAUAAAGGUGAAGUGUGAAAGGGAGCGAAGAGAAGUAGCGAAGUUUCUGAAUCCACACUGUCAAGAAAAGCCGCUAUAGUGUUAUUAGUACCCGUACCGCAAACCGACACAGGUAGACGAGGAGAAAAUCCACAGACCGACGGGAGAAGUGUUGUUAAGGAACUCGGCAAAAUGACCCCGUAACUUAGGGAGAAGGGGAGCCUAUGAGAGUAGGCCACAGAGAAGAGGCUCAAGCGACUGUUUAGCAAAAACACAGGUCUCUGCGAAACCGAAAGGUGAAGUAUAGGGGCUGACACCUGCCCGGUGCUGGAAGGUCAAAAGGAGAGGUUAGGAGCAAUCCGAAGCUUUGAAUUCAAGCCCCAGUAAACGGCGGCCGUAACUAUAACGGUCCUAAGGUAGCGAAAUUCCUUGUC
rnacentral:rRNA from 1 species